CUUGGAUCAGUCGCUUUGGAGGAAGCCAGCUGCCAUGUUUUGAGGACACUAAGGCACUUUACGGAGAGGCCCACGUGUAAAUCCUUCUCCUCCCAGAAGCAUUUAAAAAUCCACAAACCAUGGCUAACUUCCUGUGAAAUGGCUUAGUGGGCAAAAAUUCAGAAUAAGGGGAGUGUGAGUCCAUGUCUCCUUUCCAGAGAUGAAGAAGUUUCUCUUUUCUGUGCAUGAAGAAGACAAUGGGAUAUGGAUGACACUAAACCUUUGAAAGUUCCUGCUAACCUCCAGGUGGAAGGAAAGGGCCCACGGUGAUCAAUAAAUGUGUUUGCUAUUUUUUGGGUGAAAGGAAGAGAGCCUGCACCUCUGUUGGGGUAGGUUAUCCACGCUGUCUGCCUGGGGUCCAGAUUCCUGGCAUUGAUAUGACUUCUUGGCUCUCUUGAGCCCUGAAUCUGCUUCAAAUUCAGAAAGCCCCAAGACUUCUGGGCUCUAUAAUUACUCUGGGCUUUGGAGAAUGGUUUCUCUUAUGAGCAAAACAAUGGUGGAAACUUGUACCAAUGAAGGAAACACACAAGCGUGUAGAGGAACAUUGCUGUUUGCUGAUGAUGCUGGUGGCUGCUUGGUUCUUGUUCUAGGUGCUGGUGAUAGAACUGUGAACCAAAGGUCAUUGCCUUCAAGGAGUUUAUAUUCAAGUGGAGAAGAUGGAAAACCCUCCCCUCACAAACAAACAGACUCUGAAACCUGAUAAAUAAAUA
rnacentral:lncRNA from 1 species